UAAACACUUGGACAGCUACAAAACCAGAAGAGCAUGCUGCCUGCCCUCCCACGCCAGGCCCUUUUGCUUUAGAGAUCUUGCUGAUUUUGAGAUCUGACCUUUGAACUGCUGGUGGUUGGGGUUUUUUUUUCCUCCCUCUUCCCGAGCUUUUAAUUCCCGCUUUUCUGUUUUAAAUUCACAAAUAAAGAGAGAGCCCAUGAGCACCCUUGACUCUGAUGAAAGCAGACCCCAGACUCUACCCCGCUCCCCGCGUUUGCCCUCUACUGUGACUUCUGCGCUCCAGGACUUGUAAGUAAUCAAGCCUCCUCCCCCCGACACGCCAAUUUCCUAAUGGUUAUCGCUGAGGACAUCUUGCAGUCAUACUGAGAACCACGAAGACUAGUCCAGCCACAGUACUGGUUAGUGAGGGGCUGAGAGCGGCACACAACAUUGUCCCACUGAAUCAAGUCCGACAGCCUGAAGUGGUAUACUCCCUGAGAGCUGCUCUUUUUAAUAUAGAAGCCUGAGUUCAAACCUUGAUUGCCUGGAAUUGAACUUCCAUGUAAAGAAUUGUUCCGGAUAGUCUACUUUGCUGAAUCUUCAGAUCCUAUGACCUGGGAAACCUGCAGAGAAUAAACUUCUGAGGUGAAGAUGAAGAAACAGAAGCACAGAAAGGUUGAGUGAUUUUCCUAAUAUCACACAGCCAGAAAAUGGAGCUAGAACUUGAACUCAGCAGUCUGGCCUUAGAAUCUCUGCAGUCAAACACUAUAUUCUUCAUAUUAAGGUAUGUGGUUCUUUUUUGCUUUAAAUCAUAUUGUUAUGUAGAUGACUCUGAGUUGAAACUUAGAAUGAUUAUAUAAUUUGAUCAAAGUCAUGUAGAUAGAGAACUAUUUCCUCAGUACUCAGGAAUUUUAGGGGAUGUGUGAAACAAAAAGAACCAUAGAGACCAUUUAGUCUCCUUUGUUUCAUAGAUGGUGAGACAGAGAGGCAAAUUGAACAUCAUGUUACUGCUUAGUGGUGAAGCUUAGCCUUAAUUUCUUUCCUGGGUCUUAGUCCCAUACAUUUUUCAUCCAUAAUAAAUGGAAAAGUUGCAAGAAAGAUUUUCCAAUGCAGUUAUCAGUUGAGCACAAUUCAGGAGAAUUUUUACACUAUUAGUGACAUUCAGUACCAGAAGGAGUUAGUUUGUAAAGGAAGAAAGUCUUUGUUACCAGAUGUUUCCAAGUAGAUGUAGACAUAGAUUGUCCUUCUGCAAGGGAUGUUAUAGAAAGGAGGGAAACAUGGGUCACCUGGGUGGCUUUGUUCGUUGA